rnacentral:rRNA from 1 species
UGGGGAAUUUUGGACAAUGGGCGAAAGCCUGAUCCAGCAAUGCCGCGUGUGUGAAGAAGGCCUUCGGGUUGUAAAGCACUUUUGUCCGGAAAGAAAUCCUUGGCUCUAAUACAGUCGGGGGAUGACGGUACCGGAAGAAUAAGCACCGGCUAACUACGUGCCAGCAGCCGCGGUAAUACGUAGGGUGCAAGCGUUAAUCGGAAUUACUGGGCGUAAAGCGUGCGCAGGCGGUUUGCUAAGACCGAUGUGAAAUCCCCGGGCUCAACCUGGGAACUGCAUUGGUGACUGGCAGGCUAGAGUAUGGCAGAGGGGGGUAGAACUCCACGUGUAGCAGUGAAAUGCGUAGAGAUGUGGAGGAAUACCGAUGGCGAAGGCAGCCCCCUGGGGCCAAUACUGACGCUCAUGCACGAAAGCGUGGGGAGCAAACAGGAUUAGAUACCCUGGUAGUCCACGCCCUAAACGAUGUCAACUAGUUGUUGGGGAUUCAUUUCCUUAGUAACGUAGCUAACGCGUGAAGUUGACCGCCUGGGGAGUACGGUCGCAAGAUU